UUUGGGGUUUUCUUCUCUGAAGCCCCUUCUCCUGCCAUGGGAAGGACAUACCUGGCUGGCCUGCUGGAGGAAAAGAGGCUUGGGGAGUAGAGCAGAUCAAGGUAUUUGGCAGCUGCUGGACAUAAGUUUUCCACAUCCAGUGAUUGGCUGCCUUUGAUGGACACAGGAACGCAUCACUAUAUGAACUUUAAAGGGACACAGCUUGUGAAAAAUUCCUCUGAUAAAAGUCAAGGCCACUUCAAGGGCUGGGUGCUGCUGAGAGAUGGAAUCUCUGUGCCCUUCCAUCGGGAAGUGGUCUAUGGGCAUGAGGCUCCAGGUUAGCGUUGCAUUGGAUGGUUGUAUAACGUGCUGCUUCAGGGUCCAAACAGCCACUCUUCCGCUCUUCCCUGCAUAGCUUUUACUCCCAGCAGACAUGGUUUUGAACGAGCACUUAGUCUUGCCUGCUAGAACUGUGGAAUUUCAGAUUUUCUAGAAAAACUUUAUUUAUUUCAGUAGCUCUUCUCAUUCUCUGACCAAUGACCCAACAUAGCCGUUCUGCUGCUGCUUCUGGAGACAAUUACCAUUAGCAGCAUCCAUGUUCUUGACAACCUACUCCACUAUCACAGUAAGUUGAGACAAAACACAUCGGGAUGCUUUUGACUGCAAGUGGAAGA
rnacentral:lncRNA from 1 species